rnacentral:rRNA from 1 species
GUGGGGAAUAUUGGACAAUGGGCGGAAGCCUGAUCCAGCAACGCCGCGUGAGGGAUGACGGCCUUCGGGUUGUAAACCUCUUUCAGUGGGGACGAAGCGCAAGUGACGGUACCCACAGAAGAAGCACCGGCCAACUACGUGCCAGCAGCCGCGGUAAUACGUAGGGUGCGAGCGUUGUCCGGAAUUAUUGGGCGUAAAGGGCUCGUAGGCGGUUUGUCGCGUCGGGAGUGAAAACACUGGGCUUAACUCAGUGCUUGCUUCCGAUACGGGCAGACUAGAGGUAUUCAGGGGAGAACGGAAUUCCUGGUGUAGCGGUGAAAUGCGCAGAUAUCAGGAGGAACACCGGUGGCGAAGGCGGUUCUCUGGGAAUUACCUGACGCUGAGGAGCGAAAGUGUGGGGAGCGAACAGG